AAAGAAAUAGCAUGCUUUUUAUCAGAGUUUUUCCAACAUUUGAAAUUUCUUUUUCAGCUGAAAAUAAUAGUGAAUUCUGAUGAUUUCUUUUGACUGGAUCACAUUUCUCUGAAGCAAGACAAUGGAACAUACUCGUGUGAUCUUACUGGCUAAAUGCAAUCUUGUAAACAGCUUAAAAAUAAAUAUGGAAGAGUAACAUGAAUUUCUUCUCAACUUUGAAAUGGCAGUACUUUAUCUCAACACAGGGAAUUCACAAUGAGUACCCAGGCAGUGCCUUCCAUUGGCAAACUGCACAUCUAUGCAUGAUGCUAGACACAGAUGGAUGUACAUGUAUUGAAAGGCAUUUCAUUGAUUCAAAGACGCAAACAAGGCAGCCGAGUCAUCAGAAUGUGAAACACCGAUAAGCACACAGACCUAAAUAAGAUUUAAACGGCAAAGAAGAAGAAACGUGCAAAUACCUACUGAAUCGGCUACGGCUACGGCUACACCUUCAGUUCCCUUCCAAGUUAUUGACAUAACUAAUAGCGAGGACGAAGAGAUUGUGAGCAUGGCCAGGACAACAACCCAGAUGACAAGUAAAAAAUGGAUUUUUUAUCGCAGUACGUGCUGUCGAAUUAGUUAAGUUUUUCAGUUUAGUUCAGUCGGAUAUUCCAGUCUGCACGUUCUAUACGUGAAAAAAUCUGUUUCAUGCGUACAAUACUUUACAUGCCAUGCCUUUUUGUUUCCAUUACGUGUGUUAGAAAUUCGCCUGGAGGGGAUUACUUUUAUUUACACUGUCCCAUGUCUUUGGAACAUGGUGGGGGUAAGAGUGAGGUUGGGUGCGCACCAUAAACCGGUUUAAGCUCCCCAGUGGUGUUUUUGCUACUGACCGUUCCAAGGCGGUGCCCCACUGUGUUCCUUUGUUUGUUCGUUUUGUCCUUGUGUGUUGACUUUGUGUGCGCGCGUGUGUGUAUGCUUAUUGUUCGUCUUGUCCUUAUGUGUUGGCUUUGAGUGUGUGUGUGUGUGUGUUGUUCGUUUUGUCCUGAUGUGUAAGCUUUGAGUGUGAGUGUGUGUGUGUGUGUGGUGCACGCGUUUGCGUGCUGGGGGGUUCGUUUUGAGGAGGCUGCGCUUUUGGUGAGUGGCAUUCCCUGUUUGAUAUUUUUCUUUGUUUUUACAAUAAUAGAAUAAAAAAAUAGAACGAAUGAAUAUCUUCUUACAGUACUUGUUGUAUUUAAACAAAGCGAGAGAAACUAG